rnacentral:ncRNA from 1 species
UUUAAAUCAGGGCAAACUGCUCGAAAGAGUGGGACGCAAAGCCAAGGGUCUAAAUUCCUUUAAUAGGAACAUGACAGCCUGGUUGCUUUA